rnacentral:misc_RNA from 1 species
GAUGAAGAACGUAGCGAAAUGCGAUAAGUAGUGUGAAUUGCAGAAUUCAGUGAAUCAUCGAAUCUUUGAACGCACAUUGCGCCCCUUGGUAUUCCAUGGGGCAUGCCUGUUCGAGCGUCAUUUGUACCUUCAAGCUUUGCUUGGUGUUGGGUGUUUGUCUUGCCUUUGCGUGUAGACUCGCCUUAAAAUAAUUGGCAGCCGGCGUAUUGAUUUCGGAGCGCAGUACAUCUCGCGCUUUGCACUCAUAACGACAGCGUCCAAAAGUACAUUUUACACUCUUGACCUCGGAUCAGGUAGGGAUACCCGCUGAACUUAAGCAUAUCAAUAAGCGGAGGA